UGCCAACAUAAAUCGAAAUCGGAGAAGAGAAAACCGGCUCUCUCUUUUCAAAUGCGUAAAUAGUUACUACUUGAUCAUUCGCCAAAUCUCUCAAUUGUAAGACCUUAAUUCCUCAUUCCCAAAAGAAUAUCGAGCCUUGGAAUUUUUCAAUUAGGAUCCUUAUCUCAGAGAUGAAACGAUUUCUCAUAUUUCUCCUGUUCUUUAUGCUGAUAGUAUUUCCGUUGAUAAGGGAUAUCUCGAGCACAUCGAUCUCCCAGACUUCCAUUCCCGAUGAGAGCAGCCAGAUUUCCAAGCUAUACAAAACUUUUUUGCCCCCAAAACCUAAACAAGAUGUAGCAUUAGUUGCCGCAUUGGAUGGAACUGUAUACUUCGUCGACACUAACUCAAGGAAAAUUCGCUGGUCUUUUUCAUCUGGGCAGCCGAUUUAUUCUUCUUAUCAGGCUACUGUUAACAAUGACGAUGAUACGCGUAAUGCCUCUGAACUGAGUGAUGACUUAUAUUAUAUAGAUUGUGGGGAUGAUUGGGAACUCUAUGUGCAUAGCAAGCGCUUUGGCAAAUUGGUACGCAAGCCGACCCUUUUGUACUUGGUUCUUUUCUUGAAACUUUGUUCGUAUUUUGAACCAAUUUGAUGCUUUAAUUAUCCUGGUCUUCACUCUUUACGAAGGAUUUAAUAAUAUUUGUUAGGAUGGACUUUUUGGAGAGUCUUUUCAGGAGACUUACAAUUUUCUGUGUGUUAGUGUUAAGUUACAGUAUGCACUUUUGGUGAGUUUGGUUAUAAUUUAAUGCACUAUAACUGCUUUUGCACAGCAAAAACUCGCACUGAGUGCUGAAGAAUAUAUUAAAAUGACACCACACAUAUCAGAGGAUGGAGAAAUUACACUGGGAUUUAAAAAGACGACUGCAUUUCUGGUUGAUGCUAAGACUGGACAAGUGGUUCGUACUUAUGGGUUGGAUAAUUCUUCUUCCGUAUCAAAGGCUCAGGCUACUGAAGAAAAUGCUCUUCUCUUGGCAAAAGAUGCUCAAUUGAUAGAAUCUAUUGCUGCUGACUUGGGAACAGCUCAGCAUCUGAUUUACAUCACAAGGACAGAUUAUGUGCUGCAACACUAUUCUCCAAACUCCACUGAAAUUUUAUGGAACUUGGCAUUUGCUGAUAUUGAGGCUGAAUUUCGCUGUCAAGGGUUUAGAAGUUCCUUAGAUGGAGCUUCGCCAAGUGUAGAUGAGGAAGUAGAUGAUAUUCAAUUUCCUUGUCAGAUGAAGACUGCUGUCCUUCGAAUUCGUGAUUAUAGCUUGUUAGAAUUUGAUAAACUAGCAGUUGCUUGGCUUGGAGGUGAAGCUCGUUUUCUGCCUGCCCCAAUUCACAGUCCUUCCUUAGGACCUGUUCGUGGGUUUCCACUGGCUCUCCCAACUAAUGAAGACAGACUUAUGCUUGCUUUGCCUGCAUCUGAGGCCAAAAAACCUGGGAAUUUCGGUAUGCUUAGUGGAGAUGCUGAUAUAAUCAACAGCACAAGUUUAUCUUCUGAAAUUAUGGCAAAAUAUCAUAUGUGGCCUUUUAUUGCUGCCAUUUUGUCCAUUAUCAGUUCCGUUUUUUAUAAUUAUUUAACAUUUAGAAAGCAGAGUAGGCUGAGCAAGUCAGUUGAGGAUCUUAAAUCGCAUUCUGGGAGUGGAAUGCCCAAAAAGAAGAAAAGUAAGAGAUCAGGAAACAAUAGGAACAGUCCCAAUGAUGAGAGAAGGGAGAAAUAUCUCCCUCGUGAGAAUAAAGCUGGAAACAGCACUGGAGGUUCACUCAUGGAAGAGAAUUGCGGGCGCAGGAUUGGUAAGUUACUUGUUUCUAACAAAGAAAUUGCUAAGGGGAGUAAUGGUACAGUUGUGCUUGAGGGAAUUUAUGAUGGUCGUGCUGUAGCUGUUAAACGGCUCGUGCAGACUCAUCACGAUGUGGCUUUGAAAGAGAUUCAGAACCUUAUUGCUUCUGAUCAACAUCCAAACAUUGUUAGAUGGUAUGGAGUGGAGUAUGACCAAGAUUUUGUAUAUCUUGCUUUGGAGCGUUGCACUUGCAGCUUAAAUGACUUCAUUUAUGUGUAUUCUGAAUCUUUUCAAAGUCAAAUGCUUUCCAAGGAUGCAGAUUCCAACCGCCUGCCUGAGUUUACUAUUCAAUUACAUUCAAUGUUGGAACAUAGCAGAAAUGUUGAAUUGUGGAAGGCAAAUGGACAUCCUUCUAUUCAUUUAUUAAAAUUGAUGAGGUCAGUUUAAGGUUUUGUUCUACGGUUCCCAUUUUCACUCAUCUUUUCCUGAAUUAGCGGUACUUCCCCCAACACCCUUUUUUGUGUAAAACUCAGUGCUUAAUUUGGCACUAAAGAUGAUAAAAGGUUUAUGAUGCCAACAAAUUUAUUUUCAUGGCCCAUGUUCAGAUUUUCUCAUUUCUUUCUGAUGUUACAUGAGAGAUGCAGGGCAGGGCUUCCAACCAAAUUGAAGCUUCUAACUAAGUGGGAAUUUCUUUUGGAUGGAGUCAAUUAUCUCCAGCAAAAGGUUCUUUAAAGCUAGUGAAAACUGAAAAGUCAUUAUCCUUUAAAUUGGCUUUAAAAGUUAUAAAUAGCUAGCAUUCUCAUGAACUUUUUCUAUCUUAUUCACAUCUAGACCUUCUGCAAUAUAUUUAGGUUGUAUUUAAGCGAAUAGGAAGAUUGGCAUAUACUUCUUUAGUCCUUCCAAAAAACUUAUGGUAACAGCUUAUAUUAGGUACCAUUUAAAGAAAAAGCAUGAUCUGCACUCAGAUACUUUUUUCUUUUGUAAUGUAAAGUCAUUAAGUUAACCUCCUCUGAAAUGCACUUGUGUGUGUUGUAUGUUCAAGCAAAUGGUCAUGAAUUUUUAUUUACUUCUAGUCCAUUUCCAUAACAGCUUAUCUGGUCCUUUUUAAGCAAGAGUUUGAAUUAUGGACAGUGGACACAAUGGAUAGCUUGAACUUCAUAAUAAAAUGCCACAUUUUGUUAUGGUGUUACAGUUCCUGUUGCUAAAACGUUUGAACAGUCCAAAAAACUACCUAAGAAACUGUGCAGAACUUGAAAAUUUUCUUUAUUUCUGCAGGGAUGUGGUUUCUGGUCUUGCUCAUCUGCAUGAACUUGGAAUUAUACAUCGGGACUUAAAGCCUCAAAAUGUUUUGAUAAUCAAUGAUAAAUCUUUUUGUGCAAAGCUUUCUGAUAUGGGCAUUAGCAAGCGCCUUGUUGGAGACAUGUCUUCCUUGACCCAACACCCGACUGGUUAUGGGAGUUCAGGCUGGCAAGCGCCCGAACAACUACUCCACGAACGCCAAACACGUGCAGUAGAUUUAUUUAGUUUAGGCUGUGUUCUAUUUUCCUGUGUCACAGGAGGAAAGCACCCUUUUG
rnacentral:misc_RNA from 1 species